rnacentral:rRNA from 1 species
UACGGAAGGGGCAAGCGUUGUUCGGAAUCAUUGGGCGUAAAGGGCGCGUAGGUGGUCCUGUAUGUCUACCGUGAAAGCAUACAGCUCAACUGUAUUUUGUCGGUAGAAACUGCAGGACUUGAGGCUGGGAGGGGCUGGUGGAAUUCCCUGUGUAGCGGUGAAAUGCGUAGAGAUGGGGGAGAACACUCGUGGCGAAGGCGGCCAGCUAGACCAGUUCUGACACUGAGGCGCGACAGCGUGGGGAGCAAACAGG